rnacentral:rRNA from 1 species
UACGAAGGUGGCAAGCGUUACUCGGAAUUACUAGGCGUAAAGGGCAGGUAGGUGGUUCGGUAAGUCUGUUGUGUAAGCUCCCGGCUUAACUGGGAGAGGUCAACGGAAACUACCGAGCUUGAGUAUAGGAGAGGUUACUGGAAUUCCCGGUGUAGCGGUGAAAUGCGCAGAGAUCGGGAGGAACACCAAUGGCGAAAGCAGGUAACUGGACUAUUACUGACACUCAGCUGCGAAAGCUAGGGGAGCAAACAGG